rnacentral:rRNA from 1 species
UACGUAGGGGGCUAGCGUUGUCCGGAAUCAUUGGGCGUAAAGCGCGCGUAGGCGGCCAGAUAAGUCCGGUGUGAAAGCCACAGGCUCAACCUGUGAAUGCCGCUGGAAACUGUCUGGCUAGAGUCCGGGAGGGGCGAGUGGAAUUCCUGGUGUAGCGGUGAAAUGCGCAGAUAUCAGGAAGAACACCAAUGGCGAAAGCAGCUCUCUGGGACGGUACUGACGCUGAGACGCGAAAGCGUGGGGAGCGAACAGG